CACGUACUCCCUCCGUUUGGAAUUACUUGUCGCAGAAAUGGAUGUAUCUAAAUAUAUUUUAGUUCUAGAUACAUCCAUAUCCAAGACAAGUAAUUCCGAAUGGAGGGAGUACAGU
rnacentral:pre_miRNA from 1 species